rnacentral:rRNA from 1 species
UACGUAGGGGGCAAGCGUUGUCCGGAAUUAUUGGGCGUAAAGAGCGCGUAGGCGGUCUGAUAAGUCGGUUGUGGAAAGUCGGGGGCUCAACCCUCGGAUGCCGAUCGAUACUGUCAGGCUAGAGUCCGGAAGAGGCGAGUGGAAUUCCCGGUGUAGCGGUGAAAUGCGCAGAUAUCGGGAGGAACACCAAUGGCGAAGGCAGCUCGCUGGGACGUGACUGACGCUGAGACGCGAAAGCGUGGGGAGCAAACAGG